rnacentral:rRNA from 1 species
UACGUAGGGUGCGAGCGUUAAUCGGAAUUACUGGGCGUAAAGCGUGCGCAGGCGGUCUUGUAAGUCAGAUGUGAAAUCCCCGGGCUUAACCUGGGAACUGCGUUUGAAACUACAAGGCUAGAGUGUGGCAGAGGGGGGUGGAAUUCCACGUGUAGCAGUGAAAUGCGUAGAGAUGUGGAGGAACACCGAUGGCGAAGGCAGCCCCCUGGGUUAACACUGACGCUCAGGCACGAAAGCGUGGGGAGCAAACAGG